ACUCGUGGCGAAAGCUCAGUAACACGUGGCCAAACUACCCUACAGAGAACGAUAACCUCGGGAAACUGAGGCUAAUAGUUCAUACGGGAGUCAUGCUGGAAUGCCGACUCCCCGAAACGCUCAGGCGCUGUAGGAUGUGGCUGCGGCCGAUUAGGUAGACGGUGGGGUAACGGCCCACCGUGCCGAUAAUCGGUACGGGUUGUGAGAGCAAGAGCCCGGAGACGGAAUCUGAGACAAGAUUCCGGGCCCUACGGGGCGCAGCAGGCGCGAAACCUUUACACUGCACGCAAGUGCGAUAAGGGGACCCCAAGUGCGAGGGCAUAUAGUCCUCGCUUUUCACGACUGUAAGGCGGUCGAGGAAUAAGAGCUGGGCAAGACCGGUGCCAGCCGCCGCGGUAAUACCGGCAGCUCAAGUGAUGACCGAUAUUAUUGGGCCUAAAGCGUCCGUAGCCGGCCACGAAGGUUCAUCGGGAAAUCCGCCAGCUCAACUGGCGGGCGUCCGGUGAAAACCACGUGGCUUGGGACCGGAAGGCUCGAGGGGUACGUCCGGGGUAGGAGUGAAAUCCCGUAAUCCUGGACGGACCACCGAUGGCGAAAGCACCUCGAGAAGACGGAUCCGACGGUGAGGGACGAAAGCUAGGGUCUCGAACCGGAUUAGAUACCCGGGUAGUCCUAGCUGUAAACGAUGCUCGCUAGGUGUGACACAGGCUACGAGCCUGUGUUGUGCCGUAGGGAAGCCGAGAAGCGAGCCGCCUGGGAAGUACGUCCGCAAGGAUGAAACUAAA
rnacentral:rRNA from 1 species